CCUACGGGUGGCAGCAGUGAGGAAUAUUGGUCAAUGGGCGCGAGCCUGAACCAGCCAAGUAGCGUGAAGGAUGACUGCCCUACGGGUUGUAAACUUCUUUUAUAAAGGAGUAAAGUGAGGCACGUGUGCCUUUUUGUAUGUACUUUAUGAAUAAGGAUCGGCUAACUCCGUUCCAGCAGCCCCGGUCAUACGGAGGGUCGUAGCGUUAUCCGGAUUUAUUGGGUUUAAAGGGAGCGUAGAUGGGUUUUUAAGGCAGUUGUGAAAGUUUGCGGCUCAACCGUAAAAUUGCAAUUGAUACUGGCGGCCUUGAGUACAGUUGAGGUAGGCGGAAUGCGUGGUGUAGCGGUGAAAUGCUUAGAUAUCACGAAGAACUCCGAUUGCGAAGGCAGCCUACUAAACUGCCACUGACAUUGAUGCUCGAAAGUGUGGGUAUCAAACAGGAUUAGAUACCCUGGUAGUC
rnacentral:rRNA from 1 species